CACGGUCAAAUGUAGUAACAGAAGGCAAACGGCUUUUCAGGUGAAAGACGACCGAUGUAAAAGGAGUUGUACUUCCUUGGGUUUCAAUCCCUAAAACUGCCCUUUGAUGCCCUUACACGGACGCUUCUUGCAUGGUGGGUGAGAUUGUGCCUUAACCCAUUUCAUGUGUGAGGACAAAGCAAUUUAGAUGGCACCCUACAACGAAUUUGUACGAGGGGCGAAUACUUUUAUUAUGACAA
rnacentral:ncRNA from 1 species